rnacentral:rRNA from 1 species
GACGAACGCUGGCGGCGUGCCUAAUACAUGCAAGUAGAACGCUGAAGAGAGGAGCUUGCUCUUCUUGGAUGAGUUGCGAACGGGUGAGUAACGCGUAGGUAACCUGCCUUGUAGCGGGGGAUAACUAUUGGAAACGAUAGCUAAUACCGCAUAACAAUGGAUGACACAUGUCAUUUAUUUGAAAGGGGCAAUUGCUCCACUACAAGAUGGACCUGCGUUGUAUUAGCUAGUAGGUGAGGUAAUGGCUCACCUAGGCGACGAUACAUAGCCGACCUGAGAGGGUGAUCGGCCAAACUGGGACUGGGGCACGGCCCAGACUCCUACGGGAGGCAGCAGUAGGGAAUCUUCGGCAAUGGGGGCAACCCUGACCGAGCAACGCCGCGUGAGUGAAGAAGGUUUUCGGAUCGUAAAGCUCUGUUGUAAGUCAAGAACGGGUGUGAGAGUGGAAAGUUCACACUGUGACGGUAGCUUAACAGAAAGGGACGGCUAACUACGUG